rnacentral:rRNA from 1 species
UCCGUAGGUGAACCUGCGGAGGGAUCAUUACACAAUACAAUAUGAAGGCUGUCCGCAGCUGGAGUAUUUUAUUACCCUUGUCUUUUGCGCACUUGUUGUUUCCUGGGCGGGUUCGCUCGCCACCAGGACCACCAAAUAAACCUUUUUUAUGCAGUUGCAAUCAGCGUCAGUACAAACAAUGUAAAUCAUUUACAACUUUCAACAACGGAUCUCUUGGUUCUGGCAUCGAUGAAGAACGCAGCGAAAUGCGAUACGUAGUGUGAAUUGCAGAAUUCAGUGAAUCAUCGAAUCUUUGAACGCACAUUGCGCCCUUUGGUAUUCCAAAGGGCAUGCCUGUUCGAGCGUCAUUUGUACCCUCAAGCUUUGCUUGGUGUUGGGCGUUUUUGUCUUUGGUCGCCCAAAGACUCGCCUUAAAGUGAUUGGCAGCCGGCCUUUCUGGUUUCGCAGCGCAGCACAUUUUUGCGCUUGCCAUCAGCAAAACGGCAAUCCAUCAAGCCUCCUUCUCACGUUUGACCUCGGAUCAGGUAGGGAUACCCGCUGAACUUAAGCAUAUCAAUAAGCGGAGGAA